rnacentral:rRNA from 1 species
AUACGGAGGAUGCGAGCGUUAUCCGGAUUUAUUGGGUUUAAAGGGUGCGCAGGCGGGCGAUUAAGUCAGCGGUGAAAGGCUCGGGCUCAACCGGAGCAGUGCCGUUGAUACUGGUUGUCUUGAAUGCGGUCAAGGCCGGCGGAAUGUGGCGUGUAGCGGGGAAAUGCAUAGAUAUGCCACAGAACACCGAUAGCGAAGGCAGCUGGCCGGGCCUGCAUUGACGCUGAGGCACGAAAGCGUGGGGAUCGAACAGGAUUAGAUACCCUGGUAGUCCACGCUGUAAACGAUGGACACUCGUUGUCGGCGACAGACAGUCGGCGGCCAAGCGAAAGUGAUAAGUGUCCCACCUGGGGAGUACGGUCGCAAGGCUGAAACUCAAAUGAAUUGGCGGGG